rnacentral:rRNA from 1 species
GACGUAGGGGGCCAGCGUUGCUCGGAAUAACUGGGCGUAAAGGGUUCGUAGGCGGUGUGGCAAGUCGGGAGUGAAAUCCUGAGGCUUAACUUCAGGACUGCUACCGAAACUGCCAUGCUCGAGUGCGGGAGAGGCGAGUGGAAUUGCAGGUGUAGCGGUGAAAUGCGUAGAUAUCUGCAGGAACACCAGUGGCGAAGGCGGCUCGCUGGACCGCAACUGACGCUGAGGAACGAAAGCUAGGGGAGCAAACAGG